UAACUUGAGUAAAAAAGCCAUACAGGAUUUCUUCAUACCACAAGUGAAUGUUGUAGCGGAACGUUAUUGCUUCAGACAACGAAGCCAACGCCCGGGUGAGACUACAGACAGUUUGCUGCUGCUUUAAAAUAACUGGUUACAACAUGUCAGUUUGGGACUAUGGAAGAGGAGAUGAUACGGGACCAGAUCGUGGAGAAGAUAAUUCAACACGCUUCAGAGAGCGUUUACUAGUGGAGGAGGCUGUAACUUCUGUCUGUCCCCACUCAGCUCAGCAUUAAAGCUUGAAGAGUGCUGCACAACUGUCCCCUGCAGGUUGUUAUUGAAAAAGAAUCCAUAGGAUGGCAGUAGCAGUCCAACUGAGAGACAGACCAACUGUGAACCUCCUCCCUCCUUUUCUUCAUCUGUUGUCAGUCAGCAGGGAUCACUGUAUGGUUUAUACAGCUCAUGAUGGGGAACACUUCAGCUCUGAAAUAUAACUUUAUACUUUAUUACACAGAAGUGACCCCCUACAAAGGCAUAUUACUAAUAGUUUUAAUAUCUUCUUUGCAUGGUGCCAUUCAUGAGCCAAUUUGCCAAAUUAAUUCCCUGCUCCUGUUCCUCCACUGGAUUUCUAACACUGUUUACCAUCAGGUCACUCAGAUAUAGAUUUUCAUUGGCGGCUCCCCUUGCAAUGUUUGUCAGAGCAACCCUGUCCAAAAGAGUUGUUUUCCACAUUGCUGUAGCAACAAACCACCACACAAUUUACAAGUCAAACCAAAGCCAGUUUUUGUCAGUUAUUAUUUGAACAGAUCAGUUUGUAAAAUCUCUAUUGUUCCAAGUGUACACUGGUAUCUGUUUAUUAACCAAAAUGUGAAUCAAAGCUGAACACAGAUUCAUAACAUUUCCUAUUUACUUCACAUUAUGCUAUCAUAUUCACUCAGAUACAUUUACACACACAUUUUAAAAUUGUGAUACUUGCCCAGGGACCUCAGGUCAGCUAAGGUUGAGGUCCACAUGACCAAAAGCCCCUGCCGACAUCCCCUUCAACUGCCUAACUGUUUUAUCCUUGCUGGGUUCAUGAGCAUUCCUGUAAUAUUCAGUAGCUAGUAUUCUGUGUAUGCCAGCCAGAAUGUGGAAUGUUUUUGAUUAAUUGUUUUGCCCUGAAGUAAGACUAGCCGGCCAAAUCAAUAUCACAACAGACCUUUUUCACAGCAGCCAUUUUUCACAUGCAAUAGUAGGGUAAACAUAGUUGUUACCAAUGAUUAACAUAACAUUAAUAAAAGCUUCAUGUACCCUAUUAUUUUAUGUCAAAUCGGCUGCUGUGAAAAAGGUCUAUUUGCCUCAGGGGGCUUUACAAUCUGUACACAUUUCUGUUCAGCUCUGUAAUGUAAAAAUAAAAUUGAACAUUUAGAUGGA